CGGAAUAUGCAACCCGCAAAAAUAAAAUAUUAAAAAUAAUUAUAGAAUACCUAUAAACACAUAUGUAUCUUCUAAUCCUAUUUUUAUUAAUUUAAAAUGGAUAUUACAGGAUUGAUUAGAUACUUUAUUAAACCGGAAUCUGUGACAAACGACUUACCGUUCGAACUUAUUUUCCAGGAGUAAAAAGGACGAAGAGGAAGAAGAAAGGAAAGGAAAGAUCGAUGUCUCGAUUCGUCUUUAACCGAGCCGAACAGAGUCGAAGGAUGAGACGAGACAGGGAGGAAGAUCGAAGAAAUGGUUGGAAGUUCGAAUUUAACGGGAGAAAUUUUUCUACCGGAGUUGGAGGAAUGGAAAUGCUGCGAGGAGGACUGUUUCUAGCGGAAAUUCAUUCUUGGACGAUUCUGAAGGAUGACGCAGAUACGAAUAUCGAGAUCGAAUUGAUGAUAUCGAACGGAACUUAAUUCAAUGACUUAUAAAUCUUUCGAUACAGACGAAUAGGAUCGAAUCUCACGAUACGAUAUAUUAAGUACAUAGAUUUGAAAAGAAAGAACAAAACAAGGAUAAUGAAAAAGAUUCGACUUACCGAUCGCAUUAACCGGUUCGUCCAGAUACAGAUGAACUUUCCCAGAAAUCUCGUGACCACUGUAAUACACUUUCUGAGGAUGAUCCAAUACGAGAUCGAUGCGUUGCAAACCGAUUCUGUUUGUUAUCUCUAUUAAUUACGAUGCAUAUAAAUAUAACAUAUAUACAUAUAUAUGUAUUUGUACCUCUUGAACGAAUUCUCGGAAAUCGGAGAUGUAGGUUCAGAUUCUUGUCCCUCCAUUAUCGCGCGUGUCCGGAAAAUCUUUUAGAAAGGAUUCAAGGAAGACAACAAUUACGAGAGAACGUUUACGGAAACACUGAAUACAGCUCGUUAUGCAAGCGGAUAUGCCUUUUUCUUCGAUCUCAUGAUCCAACACAAUUUAAUUUCAUGAGAUCAAAGAGUUAAAAAGAAAUGAAAGAAAAAUGGUAUGAACGUCACUGUCGUCGGCAAUGCGAGUAUCUCGAUGACUUACAAGUUAAGGAUCUCACGCGAAGAAUGUUUGUUGAUAAGAUUCCAAAAUCGCCAGACCAGACCUGGAGAAAAGCGACGCAUGCGUCAGGAGGUUCGCCAAUAUCAUGGCGACAUUCUGUCGCGCAGACUACCGAAGAACAUAACCUUUGCUCUUCUCCGUUGGCACGGAUAAUCGAAGAACUCCCAGUUGGCCUGGGUCGUUCUUCGUUAGUACAGGUGAAAUUCACCGUGCUCACUCGAUUUACGCGCAGUGGAUUUCCGUUCGUUGUUACGAGUACCGAACAGAUCGUAGAUGUACGGUUAGUAAAUGGAGUUAGUUUCGAAAAUACCUGGAUGCUUCACGCACUAACGAGUUCCUGAUGUUCCACGUGCCGCAAUCUCGGACCGCAGCUUCGUUAGACGGAGAUAAAGUGGUGCGGCUGUGAAAGCGAUCGCCUGGAAAUUGCACCUAAAGACUACGUACUGUGGCCGUAAGAAUCCGUCGGAAAUCGUUUCUCCUUGUUAACUUUGACACGUAAAAUAAUCGUCGGAGGAUAUACCAUUGCGUUCGGAGUUAACGAUUCUUCCAAUUCUUUGAAAGUGUUCCUUUAUCAACAAUACUCAUUUCGCUAUUCGUUCAUUCUUCUAUUCGGUUGUAUUAUCAUUGUCUACUAUACGAGAAGCUUCUUGAAAAUUUUAAAUAUUGACAAUGUAUAUUACAGAGUUUUCAUUUUUAUUUUCAAAACGUGCUUAAGUCAUAUUCGCUAGUAUUUAUUUUAUGAGGGUCAUUUUCACUUUUUCCCAUAAAAUUUUUUUUAUAUCUGUGAAAGGAUCAUUAACUAAUACCAAAUAUUUUGACAUUCAUUGUUAUCCUAUUUCAAGAUCCUUAUUACGAGAAUUUCCCAUCUAAUAGUUCUAGAGAGUUCUUCGAAAAGUACGAUUAUUUACG